rnacentral:lncRNA from 1 species
UUUAGGAACAAGGAGGCAAAAGCCUUUGGAGAGCUGUAUGCUUUGUUCUCUGUUCUUAGGGAACCCUUCAGUGGGUGAAGAGCAAGGUGUCAUCUCCUCCCCAAGCUCUUCACCUGACAGCAAGCAGAAGAAAAUCGCAAGAGAGAGCAGUCAGGGAGUGGCCAGAUUCAAUAACAUCUGGGAGCUGAAGCUGCACCAAGAAGAUGACCUGAGCUUGGAAGCCUCGUGCCUAGAGCAGUACUGGGAAGCAGCUGGUGAGGCUUAUGCUGAGGUGGCCAAGGACCAAAGUUCUCAAGAUUCUAGGGGAACUGAGCCAGAGUUGUCCUUCCCUUUUGUCUGGCCUGACGAGGCCCCAUGCCCCUCAAGGCCAGAAUCCCGUAAUCACUACCAACCCUUCAAGCAUUUGGGGAAGGCAAAGCAAUUAGGUCCCAGACGGAACAAUGAAGAGUCCUGUGUUCCAGAAACAGGGAUGGAUUGUGCCGGCCGCACCGUGCACUCUCCUCCUAUAAGGAGCAGGCUGCCAGGGUCAUACUAUUUACCAGUCUUUGGAGCCUACCCGGAUAAACACACAGAGACGAGCCCAUCGGGAGGUGCCAACACUGGAGCUUUAUUCAGAGGCCAUCACAGCAAGGCCAAGCAGGAAGGCCAUAGCAAGAGAGCAGGAGCAAAGAGAGAGCGAGCUCCGACCACUACCGUUCCUUAAGUACCUACUUAGCCCCUCCUCCUCAGCCCACCUACUAGUCAUUGAUUGUAGGAUCAGAUACCGGAAGGGGAUGUCUGGGUUUAGCGCACCAAGGGAGAGGAAGUGACGCAGGAGGCUAGGACCAGAUACAGGAAGGAGGCGUCUGGGAUUAGCACAUAGACAAAGGGAGAGUAUGUGACCUAGGAAGUCAGGCCCAGAUACCGGGAGGAGGCGUCUGGGGUCAGUGCUACACAAAGGGAAAGUACGUGACCCAGGAAGUCAGGAAGGACACAGGAACGAGGUGUCUGGGGUUGACAUUGCACUUAGGGAGGGGGCUAGACAAAGGAACUCGUUCUCUGCCGUCCCACUCCCACGUGGCACAGCCCCCUGCCUCAGGAGCACGUGCUCCGGCUACUUCCUUGUAUUCUGUUCCUUCCCCAGCUAUCACAGCUCCACAUAGCACUGCCCACUGCCUCAGGAGCGUGAGCUCUGGUUACUUCUCCGUAUCCAGUUCCCAUCCCAGUUCACCACAACUCCGCCUAGCACAGCCCGAGCUCUGGUCACUUCCUGAUAUCUUGUUCCUACCCCAUCUUGCCACAACCGUCACUUGGCAGUAGCCAACAUCAGACAGUCCCUCACAAUGGAUGAUGAAUCUGAUAGAGAGCAGACCAGUGAGGAGCGCAGACUCAUGGAGAUGGAACUGGGCAAAUGCAUUGAGGAUUUUCGCAAAAUCAAGAUCCCUUGCACUUUCCCUAACAAAAAAGACCAUGGCAGAGUGAACUUCUCCAAAAAUACCACAUCUGAGGACAGAGGGAAACCUCAGUGCCUGCUACCACCAAUCCCAUGCCAAUCCAAUCUGCUGCCAUGAUGAAGGCCCUUGGAAUCAUCCGCCUCUCUUUUCAGUGUCUUCAUGAUGGGGGUGGGGUGGGG